rnacentral:rRNA from 1 species
AACGAACGCUGGCGGCAGGCCUAACACAUGCAAGUCGAGCGCGCCCUUCGGGGUUAGCGGCGGACGGGUGAGUAACGCGUGGGAACGUGCCCUUUUCUACGGAAUAGCCUCGGGAAACUGAGAGUAAUACCGUAUACGCCCUUUGGGGGAAAGAUUUAUCGGAAAAGGAUCGGCCCGCGUUGGAUUAGGUAGUUGGUGGGGUAAUGGCCUACCAAGCCGACGAUCCAUAGCUGGUUUGAGAGGAUGAUCAGCCACACUGGGACUGAGACACGGCCCAGACUCCUACGGGAGGCAGCAGUGGGGAAUCUUAGACAAUGGGGGCAACCCUGAUCUAGCCAUGCCGCGUGAGUGAUGAAGGCCUUAGGGUUGUAAAGCUCUUUCAGCUGGGAAGAUAAUGACGGUACCAGCAGAAGAAGCCCCGGCUAACUCCGUG